GCAUAUUCUGGGGGGGGGGCAUGGAGAUGAGGACAGGUGUGAAAGGAGGUAAGCCCUGACCGUGGGCAUGAGGGUGGUCAGGAGACUCAGGAGCCGGUGACUCCAAGCUGAGACCCAAAGGCCCAGACUGUCCUGUGAAGAGGGCUCCAGGCAGAGGGUACAGCAAAUGCAAAGGGCCUGAGGCAGGAAAGGGCUUCCUGUGCUCUGAGACCUCCUGGAAUGGAGUGCCCAAGACAGACUACACAGCAGGAAGAGAAGAGAGAAACUUUUGGAACAAGAAACUACGGACAAGAACACAGAGAAAAAUUAUUACUACCAAGGUAAUGCUAUGAAUCUUUUAGUGCAUGUGCCUCUGGGUGUCAUCUCUGCAGCGGGUCACUCACACGUGUGACAUGGAUGGUGGGGCUGUGGAAGGUGAGGGACACUCUAGAGUUGGAUGACCUGGGUUCAAAACCUUGUUCUGAUGCUUGUUAGCUGCACGGGCUUCAGGGAGCUCCUUGAUUUCCUUGUGCCUCAGUUUCCCGAUCUGUGACAUGAGGAUAAUGGCAUCGGCUUCCUCGUGGGAUGAUACAGGCCACACCAUUUUUUGUUUCCACUUUGCUCCUGUAGUUGGUUUGAAUUUUAGUCCACAAGUCUGGGCAUAAGAGGCAAAUUAGCUCUUUAAAGCAUAUAUUUUCUUGCUCUGCUUUUCUAUGUUGCCUCACUGAGGGGCUCUCCAUGUCCCUCCCUGGGGUCUCCCUAGAACUGGCCUGGAAAUAGCGGCGGUCGUGUCUCAGGGCCUUCACGUGUGCAUGACGUGGGCUUAUUGCCAAACGUGUGGGGGUCCUUGACGGUGGGCCUGCUGCAGGUUCUGUGCCUGGUGGGCAAGGGGCUUUUUGUCUAGACGGAGCAGGGCAGGACUGGAACUUGGGUAGAGUCCCUGAGGCACGCUGCUGCCGUUCCCCUGGAGCCACCAUCUGCCUGUGCUGCAGUUAAGGGAUGGCGUGGACGGGGAAGGGAGGAGAGGGCAAAGGGACAGGAGGGGGCAAGGAGACAGUUCCUGCAAGCCUGUCUCCCUCCUCUCUCUUCUCUCAUCUCUUUCUCUCCCCAUCAACAACUUCU
rnacentral:lncRNA from 1 species